GCCUGCCACAUAGUAGAUGCUCAGUAAGGUGACCAGGGCUGUGUGGACUACCCUCUGGCACCUUCAGGGUGUAGCUGAAUGAAUGUCGAUACCUCACUAGAGACUGUCACAUGCCAAGGUGGCCUCUCCUGCCAGGCAGGUCACACAGCUUUCUUUGGUUGUUUCUUCCAGAAAUCAAUUCCAUGUCAGCCCGAGUUCUGCUCUUUCUGGUGAUUCCAGGCCAUCUGAUUUUCUUAUAUGUCAUCUACCUGGUAGAAGGCCAUGCGGUCCCAAACAGCAAGACCUUUGUGGUAUUCUAUCUGCUAGCUGGCCUGAUCCAGGUGACAAUCCUGCUGUACCUGGCAGAAGUGAUGGCUCGGCUAACAUGGCACCAGGCCCUGGAUCCUGACAAUCACUGUAUACCCUACCUCACAGGGCUAGGGGACCUUCUAGGAACUGGCCUCCUGGCACUCUGUUUUCUUAUCAGCUGGUUAUUGAGGAACGAAGCAGAAUUGGAUGGCAUGUCAGAACUGGCUUCUGGACCUCCCUAAUGAACCCAGUUAAUCAGUAGAAUGUUCCCUCACACCAACAGGUUAUAGAAUGCAGUUUCUCCCUGGCUAUGUCCUUAGGUUGCCCUUUGUCAGUCUGCUAAGGAGAUUCACACACACCUUGACCCUGGAGUUGGAACCUGAGUCCAUGAUGGAGACUGAAAUCAGGAGCACUGUUUGUGAGUGUGUGAAUGUGACUGGGUGAGUGUGUGAAUGAGUGUGCAUGUGUGUGCAGAGAGCAGGGUUCUCUGGCCUGAAGAUGCUAAAGGAAGAGGCCUGUCCAGUACACCUUGGGGGAUAUAUUGGCCCUAUUUCAUGCCAGUGCAGCCCAGAUUGGGGUGAAGCAUGAAGGAGACCUGUUGCGUGCCCAUGCUUCAGGACUCUGAGCCCUGGCUUAACUGCUAUCUUCACUAGGUCCAGCUCCAUGGGCCACUCUGCUGGUGUGCCCUGCAAAUGUGUGCAGCCCUUCAUAGGAUGGGGUCUUACACACCCCCUCAUCUGCUCCCAGCAUUUAUUCUUGUCAAUGCUUCCUCCCUCCCCUUUUUUUAAAAGGAAAAACCUGUUUAGAUUUUAAUGAAUUGAGAAGUGAAAAAUAAAGCGUAGAUUAUAUUGUA